rnacentral:rRNA from 1 species
GACGAACGCUGGCGGCGUGCUUAACACAUGCAAGUCGAACGGAAAGGCCCUUCGGGGUACUCGAGUGGCGAACGGGUGAGUAACACGUGGAUGAUCUGCCCUGCACUUUGGGAUAAGCCUGGGAAACUGGGUCUAAUACCGAAUAGGACCACGCGCUUCAUGGUGUGUGGUGGCAAGCUUUUGCGGUGUGGGAUGGGCCCGCGGCCUAUCAGCUUGUUGGUGGGGUAAUGGCCUACCAAGGCGACGACGGGUAGCCGGCCUGAGAGGGUGACCGGCCACACUGGGACUGAGAUACGGCCCAGACUCCUACGGGAGGCAGCAGGGGGGAAUAUUGCACAAUGGGCGCAAGCCUGAUGCAGCGACGCCGCGUGAGGGAUGACGGCCUUCGGGUUGUAAACCUCUUUCAAUAGGGACGAAGCGCAAGUGACGGUACCUAUAGAAGAAGCACCGGCCAACUACGUG